rnacentral:rRNA from 1 species
AUGGUCGCCAUGCUGCCCGCCGCGAGGGGGGACGCCGCCCCGGCCACCAGCGCCGGCGCCGCCGAGAAGCUCGUCCGUGGGCCUGUCGCUGACGGCAAGUGCAAGAAGAAGGCCCCGAGGAUGAUCCACAAGGCCGAGAGGGAGAAGCAUAAGCGCGACCUGCUCAACGAUCUCUUCGGCGAGCUCGGCGAAAUGCUAGAAGCAGACAGGCAGACCAAUGGGAAAGCAUGCAUAUUGACUGACACCACUCGAAUCCUUCGAGAUCUGCUUUCGCAAUUAGAAUCUCUCCGAAAGGAGAAUAGCACCCUGCAGAAUGAAUCCCAUUAUGUUACAAUGGAGAGGAAUGAGCUGCAGGAUGAGAACGAUGUGCUCCGCAACGAAAUACUGGAGCUACAGAAUGAACUGGCGACGCGUCCUGCAGGCAACCCAGGUUGGGGCCAUGCUACUGCUGGAUCGCCUCACGCUGCGAGCACAGUUUUCCCGUCACAUCAGCCAAUGCAGCCGAGCACCAUCGCAAGCGCAGUAUUCCCCUUGCAGCAGCCACUGCAACAGACAACCAUCCUGGAGCACCCUUAUGCACCACCACCACCACCACGGGAACUUAAGCUCUUCCCAGACACGGCGUCUGACAUCGAAGGCCUUGAACCAUCAGAAGAUCCGGAGGCCGCCAACCAUAUCGCGCGGCCGCUGGCAAGGUACCCAACAGAGUCAGCGUCGUGGCCUGUAACUGUAAGCCUGGGUCUCCCGAGGACGGAAGAUGAACAAUGUAGCAGUGGCACAACCGGCAGUAGCUCUGCCUCUUCUAGAGAUUGA